rnacentral:ncRNA from 1 species
UGACCUCAGAUCAGCCAAGGCAACCCGCUGAAUUUAAGCAUAUUAAUAAGCGGAGGAAAAGAAACUAACAAGGAUUCCCCUAGUAAUGGCGAAUGAAGCGGGAACAGCUCAAAUUUGAAAUCUCCGUUGCUUGCAACGGCGAAUUGUAGUUUCGAGAAGCACUUUCUCGGCGGAUCCGAGGUCGUCCAAGUUGCUUGGAACAGCACGUCGUAGAGGGUGACAACCCCGUCUGCGGCGACCUCGGCCGUUCACGAUGUGCUUUCGACGAGUCGGGUUGUUUGGGAAUGCAGCCCAAAAUGG